rnacentral:tRNA from 1 species
UUCUCAGUAUCUCAGUGGUAGAGCGGUCAGUCGUUAACUGACUGGUUGUAGCUUCGAAUCCUACUUGGGAUA